rnacentral:lncRNA from 1 species
GAGAGAGAGGAAAGAAACUUUUAUUUACCUGUAGGUCCAGAUACUUGUUUGAGCAUCCUUGCAUCCUGUGAUCGAUACUCCCAAGGUAAAGCCUACACUUUUAUUUAUGCAAGAAUUGAAGUUGGUAGAGGGGAUUGUCAGACAUGAUUUGCUAAGUUGUUGACUAGAUUAACUUGGUUGCAAGACUAUGAUAUGGUAUAGUUUGCUUCUGAAAUUAUGAUUUUCUAAGGUGUUGAUUCUAAGCGAGUCUUUGCUGUUUUCAAACCUCUUUCAGAGAGACUACAUGUAUGUUUUGCUUGAGGACAAGCAAAAGUGUAAGUCUGGGGGAGUUGAUAGGCUAAGGAAUUUACCCACUUUUAUCCAUGGUUUAUAAGUAUUUAAUAACUAAUUAUUAUAUUCUAUAGUCUAAUUAGUAUAUUUAUAGGAUUGUGAGUGAUUUGGAAGAAAAUGAUGAUUUUGGAGCAUUUUGGAGAUAUUUGGAGAAAACAUCUGAGUUGACCAUCGAGCAAGACCAUUGGUCGACAUUCAGAGACAAUAAUCGAUCGAUGCACACCUUGCGACAUCGAUCGA